AUUAUUUAAAGUGAUCUCUAACCAUUCUAAAAGCUUUGAUAAUUUGAUUUUCACAAUUAAACAUGGUCAUCAGACCAUCUACAAAUUUCUUAUCUAUAACUGAAGGAUCCUUAUUUGAGUUCAAUGCCUUCAUUCGGUUCUUAACUUCAUUUUCGAUAUCAUAAAUAUACAAUUGAAUAAAUUUAGACUUUUUUUCCAUCA
rnacentral:lncRNA from 1 species